rnacentral:rRNA from 1 species
AAAUUGGUAAGAUCUAUUAGUUCUCUUAAUUGAACUGGUAGGCAGAAUGCAUUGUUCCAAGUGGGCUUAUCGUGGUAAGCAUGUUAAGCAAUGAGGGAUGAACCUAACGCUGAGAUAAGGCGCCAAAAUUCCCGCUCAUCAGAUACCAUAAAAGGUGUUGAUUCAUAUAGACAGCAGGACGGUGGCCAUGGAAGUCGGAAUCCGCUAAGGAGUGUGUAACAACUCACCUGCCGAAUGAAUUAGCCCCUGAAAAUGGAUGGCGCUGAAGCGGGAUGCCGAUACUCAGCCAUCAAAGCAAAUGCGAAGCUUUGAUGAGUAAGAGGGCGUGAGCACGGUGCAGAAGCCUUUGGCGUGAGCCUGGGUUGAACUGUGUUUAGUGCAGAUCUUGGUGUUAGUAGCAAAUAUUCAAAUGAGAACUUUGAA